GAUGAACGCUGGCGGCGUGCCUAAUACAUGCAAGUCGAGCGAACGGACGAGAAGCUUGCUUCUCUGAUGUUAGCGGCGGACGGGUGAGUAACACGUGGAUAACCUACCUAUAAGACUGGGAUAACUUCGGGAAACCGGAGCUAAUACCGGAUGAUAUUUUGAACCGCAUGGUUCAAAAGUGAAAGACGGUCUUGCUGUCACUUAUAGAUGGAUCCGCGCUGCAUUAGCUAGUUGGUAAGGUAACGGCUUACCAAGGCAACGAUGCAUAGCCGACCUGAGAGGGGGAUAGGCCACACUGGAACUGAGACACGGUCCAGACUCCUACGGGAGGCAGCAGUAGGGAAUCUUCCGCAAUGGGCGAAAGCCUGACGGAGCAACGCCGCGUGAGUGAUGAAGGUCUUCGGAUCGUAAAACUCUGUUAUUAGGGAAGAACAUAUGUGUAAGUAACUGUGCACAUCGUGACGGUACCUAAUCAGAAAGCCACGGCUAACUACGUG
rnacentral:rRNA from 1 species